ACGGGGUGCAGCAGGCGCGAAAACUUCACACUGUGCGAAAGCGCGAUGAGGGAAUCCCAAGUGUUUGCUCGUAAGAGUAAACUGUUUCUUUGUUUAAAACGCAGAGAGAGUAAGGGCUGGGUAAGACGGGUGCCAGCCGCCGCGGUAAUACCUGCAGCUCAAGUGGUGAUCAUUAUUAUUGGGCCUAAAACGUCCGUAGCCGGUUUAGUAAAUGCCUGGGUAAAUCGUGUAGCUUAACUAUACGACUUCCGGGUAGACUGCUAAACUUGAGACCGGGAGAGGCUAGAGGUACUCCUGGGGUAGAGGUGAAAUUCUGUAAUCCUAGGGGGACCACCAGUGGCGAAGGCGUCUAGCUAGAACGGGUCUGACGGUGAGGGACGAAGCCCUGGGGCACAAACCGGAUUAGAUACCCGGGUAGUCCAGGGUGUAAACGCUGCUUGCUUGAUGUUAGUUGGGCUCCGAGCCCAACUAGUGUCGGAGAGAAGUUGUUAAGCAAGCUGCCUGGGAAGUACGGUCGCAAGGCUGAAACUUAAAGGAAUUGGCGGGGGAGCACAGCAACGGGUGGAGCGUGCGGUUUAAUUGGAUUCAACGCCGGAAAACUCACCGGAGGCGACGGUUACAUGAAGGCCAGGCUGAUGACCUUGCCUGAUUUUCCGAGAGGUGGUGCAUGGCCGCCGUCAGUUCGUACCGUAAGGCGUUCUGUUA
rnacentral:rRNA from 1 species